rnacentral:rRNA from 1 species
CUACGUGCCAGCAGCCGCGGUAAUACGUAGGGUGCGAGCGUUAAUCGGAAUUACUGGGCGUAAAGCGAGCGCAGAUGGUUACUUAAGCAGGAUGUGAAAUCCCCGGGCUCAACCUGGGAACUGCGUUCUGAACUGGGUGACUAGAGUGUGUCAGAGGGAGGUAGAAUUCCACGUGUAGCAGUGAAAUGCGUAGAGAUGUGGAGGAAUACCGAUGGCGAAGGCAGCCUCCUGGGAUAACACUGACGUUCAUGCUCGAAAGCGUGGGUAGCAAACAGGAUUAGAUACCCUGGUAGUCCACGCCCUAAACGAUGUCAAUUAGCUGUUGGGCAACUUGAUUGUUCAGUAGCGUAGCUAACGCGUGAAAUUGACCGCCUGGGGAGUACGGUCGCAAGAUUAAAACUCAAAGGAAUUGACGGGGACCCGCACAAGCGGUGGAUGAUGUGGAUUAAUUCGAUGCAACGCGAAGAACCUUACCKGUCUUGACAU